rnacentral:lncRNA from 1 species
GAAACAUCACGGUGUUGGAUUGUGCUGCCCUCCCAGUCAGCUUCCUCCACAGAUUUACUGCGGCGGGGCACGAAACAUGGGAUGAGUGCACCGGCAACUCCUCGCGCUGCAGCUCUGAAUGAGUUCCUCCUGUAGAUCCGGUUCUGAUCAAAACUGAUGGUGAGAGCGGUGCAAGUUGAUGACUCUGAGAAAUCAGGAUUUGAUGGUAGCCCAUGACCGAUACCGGAGUCUUCUUCCCGACGGCUGAAGCUGAGCAGCUGACGGCCGGAUUCCUGCAUAAUAUAUAGGAAAAACCGAGUCCGAUAUCUCUACUCACAAAUGGCCGUCGUGUCUCUUUCCAGUUAUGUGCUCCGGGCGCUCGUG